rnacentral:rRNA from 1 species
UACAGAGGUCUCGAGCGUUGUUCGGAUUCAUUGGGCGUAAAGGGUGCGUAGGCGGCGCUGUAAGUCAGGUGUGAAAUUUCGGAGCCUAACUCCGAAACUGCAUUUGAUACUGCGGUGCUUGAGGACUGGAGAGGAGACUGGAAUUUACGGUGUAGCAGUGAAAUGCGUAGAGAUCGUAAGGAAGACCAGUGGCGAAGGCGGGUCUCUGGACAGUUCCUGACACUGAGGCACGAAGGCCAGGGGAGCAAACGGG